rnacentral:lncRNA from 1 species
AUAAAACAAAGGAAGUUUGGAAUCACUUGGAGAGACUGUAUACUCAGUCCAAUUUUGCUAAACAAUACCAAUUGGAAUAUGAUAUUCGUGCCCUUCAACAGAAUGACUAGAGCAUUCAAGAUUUCUAUGCUGCUAUGUCUGAUCUCUGGGAUCAAUUGGCUCUUACUUGUGACAUCCCCAAAAUCACGGCCAGAAAAGACCGGUUUGUUUAUGCUUUGUUUAAAAAUCAAAGUUACAUUUUAAAUGAAAGUGUUGCGGAAUUUGUCCCAAAAAAAAAUAUGAUAAAAGAUUUAUCAAAAGCAUUUCCAUAGAAAUGUAUUUCAUUAAAAGACUCGGGAUGUCAUGUUCGUACAGAUCAAAAGCAUAAACAGUACAAUAUAAGCCUUACUACAUUAUUUCAUAUCUACAGGCCUAUAUCCGUAAUCCCUCGUCCAAAACAUCACACCUAUGCUCAUGCGCCACUACCUGUAAUACAUAAAACUAAGUGGGUCAGGCUUGGGAGCCUGGUGAGCACAUAGGGUUUUCAACCCACAAUAAAUAAGUUUAUUAAUUUCAUCGAUCAACAAUAACCCGAUUACCCGUUCCCGUUAUCCUCACUUUACGUCCCUAAACACCUAUCAUAAGGGACCUAGCCUAAGGAUCAUCAUCGGGACGGACACUACUGCUAAGGGGAUUCCUCAGCAAUAAAUGUCCUAAAGGCAACCAUGUGGGGGAUGGAGUACACCGGUGAACAUAUCGUUCACAAACACCUACAGGUUGCGAGCCUGCUAGUGUUCCACUGGACUGUCUAGAAGAGUCCGUGGUCGUCAUCCAUACUCCGCUAGAUGACAGAAACAACAACAUCAACAUCGAGGCCUCUCAUCAUUUUAUCACACAUCACCUAUUGCAUCUACCCAUGUUUUACCCCAACAUUUUCGUAGAUAUAAAAUACAUAUACAGUUUAAAUCAUUGAAAACAUGUAUAACAACGUUCAUCUAGCAUAGAUAGCAAGUAUUCAGAUAAUAUGCACACAUAGCACGUAAUUUAUAUAAAAUACUUCAUAUCUAUGUGUAAGUUGAAAGUAACUAUGCACUCACUUGUUAAGGUGAUGAUUCCAAAAUCGGGCAGCGCUUGCUUCUAACGAUUCUAUUUUCCUUCGACGAAACCUAGCAUUAUUAUCGCUAAAUUUUAGUCUAAUAUUUACCGUGACCAACUAUUAGUCUUAGUAUUAUUAUUAUUAUAUAAGCGUUAAACAAUAUUUUCCAACCACUAUGUACAGACAGGGGCCAGACAUAAAACACCGGAGGGCAGGACCAUUUUGGCAUAUAGCACUUCUGAAAUCCAACAACCCUAUGCGGCCCUUUAAACCAGAUUCCCCGUACCGCGAGUAGUUAAAAAAAAAUUUUAUAACGACACUUAUAUAAGUUAUAAUAAUAGCUCAAAUAUUUAUUAUAAGUUCAUAAUAACAAUACUAAUUUUAAAUAUAAGCUAUAUUAAAAUAAGGUAAGCAUAACUUACUUACAAGGGGGUUUUAGCUAGGAGUCGGGCUCUGCAGGGGCAGAACUUCGUCGCUGAAUCUUUCUAAGAAAGAUUCGUGCAGCGCUUCAGCGCUCACCUUACUAUACUAAGCUACAGAAAGAGAAGUCGAAUCACGAGGGACCGAAAUGCUCGGGGGAUAAGGAGAGAAAGACUCUUGAAUCAAGAGAAUGGUGCAAGAAAUAUGAGAGCCCAAGGCUCUUAUUUAUACUAAUUGAAUUUUCAAAAACUACCCUCCAUAAUUACUUAAUGACCUUUUAGUUAUAUAAACAACUAAACACCCCUCUAUAAUACUAUUAUAAAUGGAUUUAAUGAUAUUUGUACUAAACUAAUGUCGAAAGAACUCAACAUUAGUCUUAUAAUGACCGCAUCGUCGAUACCUUUCUAAUGAUAUAUACAUAUGUAUAUAUAUGUGUACGUAUACAUGAUUUAUACUUUAUUUUAAUACGUAAAUAUGCUAUUAUAAUUUGUAACUCGUUCAUACGAACUCCGUUUUUGACGUUCUUUAUAUCCACGCGUAGGUGAAGACGUACUCUACAACUUUCGUUUAGACUCCGUCGGCUAAUUUUGACUUUAUUUUUAAAGUUAUAUUUUUAACAAGCCGGGACAGGAUUGGUCUGUUUAAAAUCUCAUAACUUCUUCAUACGAAGUCAGAUUUGGGCGUUCUUUUUAUCGAUGUUCUUAGUUUAACAUAUUCUACGACUUUCGUUUAGAUCACUAAGGCUAAAUCUCGCUCUAUCGUAAAUUCACUAUUCACGCUUCCUGGUAUCGUGCCGGUUCCGUCGUGAAACUUCGACGGGGCAUAACUUCUUCGUUAUAACUCGGAUUUCGGCGUUCCUUAUAUGCACGGAAACCUUGAGACAUAUUCUACAACUUUAUGUAGAGAUAUCGGGAUUAUCUCACACUUUAAUUUUGACGCUCAUUUUUAUUCUUUAUUAAUUAUACAUUUAUAAUUAAAUAAUAAACACAUAUAAUUCACAUAAUACUCAAAUAUUUCAUCUUUAUUACUUCAAAAAGAGUUACAAGAGUUGACCUAGACUAUUACAUUGACAAAAAUGCUUAGCCCUGAAACCCGGGCGUUACAUUACUGAAUCUAAAGAGUUAAAAGAUUUUGAGCCUUACAUUGCUAGGAG